AUCGUUUCUCGGCCUGUUGCUAAGAUCAAGUGUAGUAUCUGUUCUUAUCAGUUGAAUAUCUGAUAGUCCCCCAUCUGGGGGACUAUACAUAUUAAAUGGAUUUUUCGAACAGGGAGUCGGAAGCGGGCUUGCUCCGUCCGCUCCACGCAUCGACUCGUAUUGCAGUACCUCCGAGAACGGUGCACCCUCU
rnacentral:snRNA from 1 species